rnacentral:rRNA from 1 species
AUACGGAGGGGGCUAGCGUUGUUCGGAAUUACUGGGCGUAAAGCGCGCGUAGGCGGAUUGAUCAGUCAGGGGUGAAAUCCCGAGGCUUAACCUCGGAACUGCCUUUGAUACUGUCAAUAUUGAGUUCGAGAGAGGUGAGUGGAAUUCCUAGUGUAGAGGUGAAAUUCGUAGAUAUUAGGAAGAACACCAGUGGCGAAGGCGGCUCACUGGCUCGAUACUGACGCUGAGGUGCGAAAGCGUGGGGAGCAAACAGGAUUAGAAACCCUUGUAGUCC